CUCAGCACCUGGGUUCUUGUCUAGCAUCCAGGAAGAAUCAGGUCACAUGAAUGGAUUGAAGAGUAGUGUAUGCAGAGGAUUUUAUUGGGCGGUGGAAGUGGCUCUCAGUGAGAUGGGAGUUGGUAAGGGGAUGGUGUGGGAAGAAGGCGAUCUUUCCCCAAAGCUGCACCAUCUGGAGUUGGUUGCAUCUAUCCAUUGUCUCUGAUGCUCAGCCGCUUCUAUUUCCACCACUCAGCUGCUUGUAUUCCUGACACUCAGAUGCUUGUAUUCCCAGUGCUCAGCUGCUUGUGUUAUUUUGCCAGCUGAAGUCUUUUUAUGGGCACAGGAUAGGGGCAUGGCAGGCCAAAAAGGCCACAUUUGGAUGGAAAAAUGAGAUAAGACCCUCUCCCUGUCCCUGAAAUGAACAGUGCACCCAAAGCAAGAUUGAAGCUAGGCUCUAGCUGCACUUCUGCCAUUCAUUGGAUGUGCAAACUUCUGCAAAAUACUGAUUUUAUUCUUUGUCUGCAAAAGCUAGUUAAGCACUCUAUUGCCUCUGGACUUCCUGUUGGCUGCCCAUCAGCACCCCGACCUCUCCAGACCUGAGGCUUUUCUCUGUUGGCUCGGCACUUCUUCCUGCCGCCAUGUGAAGAAAGAUGUGUUUGCUUCCCAUUCUGCCAUGAUGGGCCUCUCCGGAAUGGAUAGAUGUCACUAACCCCUCAUCAACACCAGAGGGAUUCAGCCAAGAUUCCACAGAGGCCAUGAUUCCCGAGUAAGAACCACAUUCUACAGCAAUGCCUGCUCUCAACUCAUCGUGACAAAGCUUAAAGACUCAGAGGGAGGAGAAAGGGAGGAGGUGGAGAAAUUAAUCUAAACACGUUUGGGAAUAUCUUGGGGUUUCCUCAGAUGAUUCUUCUUAACAAAGUAUAAAAGGAAGUCUUCACAAGUUCAAGAUGUUGUGUUAGUAAUUUAACUGCCUACAAAAACAAAAAUUCUACACUCUUCAGAGGAAGAUAACAAGAUAACAAAUUCCAAGGUCUUUAAAAUGUCAUUCACAAUGUACAGCAAAAAAAUAUAUAUAUAUAGAAA
rnacentral:lncRNA from 10 species